UUCAAUAUUUUUGCGCACAGUAUUUGCUGAUGGAUACAAUGGUAGUUGAUAAAAUUUGGAAUAUUAUCAUCAAUUUUGAAAUGAUUCAUAAAUCCAUUAUGAAAUCCAAUCGUGCAAGAAGCUCUAUCAGUCGUAGUCGAUACCAAUUUUUGUAUUGGAAAUCAUGUUUUAGGGAUGAAGGACUUGAACGAGAACGAGUGUGUUCCUUCAUUGAUAAAAAAUUGUUAAAAAUAAUUCUUUAUUAGGCAUAUCCUGCAAACACAACCUUAUGGAUACACAUAACUAUGCGGUAUCAGUUGAUUCGUCGAGUUGUAAGAAUAGCAACCGAAAUUCAUCAAUAUCAGCAUCUCAUCCAAAUUUUUACUUUUAGCUUCUGUUAUACGUAUGAAAGUGUUUCUUGACAGCAACUUUUUUUUAAUCAAAGCAAUUAUUUCAGAUUCAUUGUUAAAAUUUUCAAACAAUAAUUCUUCUGAUGUAAUAAAUCUCCUUUCAACCGUCUCCAAAAGGCUUCUUAUGAUUUAAUAAAAUUUAAUUUACUUCAAAUGAUGCAAUUGUGGCUUUUUUCGAUUUCAGAUUCGAUCUCGAGAAAAAAAAACUCUGAAAAACAUUCAUUUGGAGCCAACGAUAGUUCUUUGGGGGUCUCCGUAGCCACAUUGGUUGCGCGUUCGCUUAAAUAGCUAGGUCCACGCAACAAUCAUCAGCGAUGGCGAUCGAUCCACGGUCGAAUAAAGAUCGAUUCGUCCAUACAACUACUCUGCUCUGCAAGAUACAUCGGGCUGCUGUUCUAUAAAUAACUCAACAAUGAUCAACAACUGUCUCCGCUGUCCGGUCUAACUGGAUAAUGGAAGAACAGAUAGAAAACUCUUACGCCUAAAUGGCUACUGUGUGAAUGUGUACCAUAUGCAAUGGUGUAGUAGGGAAUAGUCUAACGCCGAAAAAUGGCAACUGUGUAAUGUGCUAAUUAUAGAUAUGAUAAACAUGUGACAUGUACACGAUUAAAAUUCGGCUCUGUUACAGCUAAAAUACUAAUGAGCCUAAAAUAAACAAAAAGGGAUAAAAAAAAACGAUAGUUCUUUUUA